UGAAUGAUGUGGUGGAUUCUGAAUCAGCCUUCCUGAGGGUAGCUGAGCAAGUCAAUGAAGAAUGGAGUUUUAAGAUAUGUCCAAUUAAACAAACAGCAGUAAUGGAAACCACCUUAUUCCUGGCAGUUGGUUGAGGCUAUUCAUCUUCAGGGAGACUGACUCCUCUGGGGAUGGAAAUUCUAAUUGAAUCCAGGUGCAGCAGCAACGCCAAGUCUACAUGACUCCAUUACAGUACCGUGAUUAUACCACCCCUGCAUAGAAUCCAAAAAGAAAAAGAAAUAGCAGAUUUAGAGCCAACCAACACAUUAUGUAGAGUAGGGAAGGGAAAUGAGACAGAGAGAGACAGAGAGAAGAAAAUGAUGGAGUACGAAUGUCAGGAGCAUGUCACAAAGCAAUUAGGACAGCUCUAUUUUUUUCCUUCCCGUUUUUAGAAACCAAUUGUUCAACAUGUUUAUUUUUGGCAACGGUAACAACAGGCAUUAGGCUGUUCAUUAGAAAGGCACUGAGCACACCCUUAAGCCUGAGGGAGGGGGGAGUCUGAGAGGGGAAGUCAAGAUCUUGCUUUUUGUUCAGUGAUAGGCCUAAAUGCAGGAUGCUCUCUCUUCCUGCAUAUUAAGGAUUUUAGUGGUAAGCCUAAUUAUGGGGUGUUUGUUAGUCUGUGCAAACAAUACGGAUCUAAAUAAACCAGUGCUCUGACUUGGUAUAAGACAACUUCCUAUGUUCAGAUGACUUCUCUGGAAAGUACUUGUGGGAACAGGACGGUUAUGUGAAUUUCUUCUUUGAGACAAUCAGGAUAAUAAAGCUUUGUUUAUUUUUUUUUUUAUUUUUUAUGGUGAGGGGGAGAGGUGAGAGGAUGAAGUUCUUCCAAUCUGGAUAUGUUUCUGCCUAAACAAAACCACUCUUUUGCUGGGGCAUAGUCACUACGCUAGGUCCUUCUCAACUGGCUUAGUUGCUGGGAGGGAGAAGGCAAGGGACAAGGUGACUGGGGGUCAGUACAGUGCAGGAGCACCAAAUUGGCUCUGCCAGUGCAUCAAUCUCCCCACUUCCGUGCCCCCUCUGCUUCCCAGGGGGCAACAAUACUUCACCUGAGAGGUUAGUAUAGCAGCUAUAUCCCAGCCUGAGAGUUGCUUCUGCUGCCGU